CAACUUCUUGGUAGCAGCAGAGGAUGAGCAAAUACAUUGUCUGCAAAGGCUGAGUCAAUUAGCAGUGGCUGUCAUGUGUAUUGAACUGCAGUUGUUUAAAGUGAGAAUAUUCUAAAUGCAGAGAGCUAUUACAGUUGGGAAGAAUUUCUGAGCAGUGUUUCAGCUUUUUCUAGUUCUGACUUCAAGCAUGGACCUUGACAAAGCAGCAGAAUGACAACUUGGUAGGAAUUCUGUGCCUUAUUUCUUAAUCCUGAUGAGCCAAACCUACGGUGAACUCCCAUUCCUCAGAGAGAGCCAGAGCCACGGGGUCACAUCAAGCCACUCUGUACAGAUCAGUUCUACAGAGUUUUCUGAAAGCAUAACCUUAAAUCCUACGAAAACCAGUUGUCCAUGCUUCAGUCUCCUGAGAAGGCAGCUCCUGCUGCCUCCUGCAGCCCCACUCGUGCUGAAGCAAGGCCAUUUACACCGUGCUUCAGAACCAGGUGUGCUAUGGGCAGAGUGGCAGCAAUUGCCAGCGGUGACUAAGUGAGAAGUGACACUCUCUGUCUCUCUGAGGGUUUCUUCAAGUCCAGUUUGGAGCCUUUCAUUACAUUGCAAGAAUCCAUUAAGACAGAAACAAGGUUAUUCCAUGAAAUGUUUUUGUGACUAAAGAGGACAUCCAGCUCUUUAAUCAGUGACAGAACAUCUACUCUGACAAGACUGAGUGAUACAAUGCGCUUGGCUAGCACCUUUGCAACUGAAGGGGAAUAUAACUUACAAGGACAGACAGUAUUCUCAUUAAAUUGCCAUUGGUUGAUUCAUCAAUGCUCCAGUGGAAAUAAUUAUUCUGUAUAUGUUUGAUGUAAAUGUCUAUGUCAAAUGAAACCUCAUUUUGUAUUUUGCGGAUGUCUGAUCCAUGAUAAUUUGGCUAAUGCCUUCAGGUCAUGAGAUAACUGUCUUCUCCCUUCAAUUAUGACAGGGGCUGCAGUGAGAGUCUAAGAGUGUUUUGGAGGAGAUAAAUACACACACAUACACACACAUAUUUAUAUAUAAACAAACAAACAAAUAAAUAAACAAACAAAAUCA
rnacentral:lncRNA from 1 species